UUAAAUGACUGAUUUCAUUUCCAAAAGAUUCCUUUUAAAAACCUUACAUAUUCUCAAUUUUAUUGUUUGUAAAUUAUUUUGAAAAAAAAAAAAAAAAAAAAGAGGAAAAUAUUGCAUAGAUUCAAAUAUUCUGGAAACAAAAAAUAAGCCUGUUUGGAGACUAUUUCCUUAGUAUAUUAAACUUGCUUAGACACUUCAAAGAACUACAAGUUGUAUAUCAAGUACUGCCUGAAGAUAAAUUAAGAUUAUUCUUUUUCCACUCUAUCUCUGGCCAGAGCAAUCCCCUCAGAUCUGGAAGCCAUUUAUGAAGAUUUCUGGAGUCAGUGUCUGCUCCCGAGGUUAAAAAAAAAAACUGAAAUGGUUGACUUUUUGUGCCAAUUGUGAACAAACCCGGGUUUUGAAAUCAUUAAAUGCAGCAUUCCUACCCUUGACAUCAGGACACAAAUAAGGAACAGUCCUCAUGUCUUCCUGGGUCAGGGAUGUUUCUUAAAACAGUCCCCAUGCAGAGCAUACAGGACCACUCUUCACCCUCGGUCACAUAAAACACGGACUUUCAUACCCAUACCCCCUGGAA
rnacentral:lncRNA from 1 species